rnacentral:rRNA from 1 species
UACGAAGGGGGCUAGCGUUGUUCGGAAUCACUGGGCGUAAAGGGCGCGUAGGCGACGCGGAUAGUCGGCGGUGAAAGCCCGGAGCUCAACUCCGGGUCGGCCGUCGAUACUUCCGGGCUUGAGCACUGUAGAGGCAGAUGGAAUUCCGGGUGUAGCGGUGGAAUGCGUAGAGAUCCGGAAGAACACCGGUGGCGAAGGCGGCCUGCUGGGCAGUAGCUGACGCUGAUGCGCGACAGCGUGGGGAGCAAACAGG